GGAGGGGGCGAGCGUUGUUCGGAAUUACUGGGCGUAAAGGGCGCGUAGGCGGGAUAUCAAGUCAGGGGUGAAAGUCCUGGGCUCAACCCGGGGACUGCCUUUGAAACUAGUAUUCUUGGGACCGGGAGAGGAUGGCGGAAUUCCCAGUGUAGAGGUGAAAUUCGUAGAUAUUGGGAAGAACACCGGUGGCGAAGGCGGCCAUCUGGACCGGAUCUGACGCUGAGGCGCGAAAGCGUGGGGAGCAAACAGGAUUAGAUACCCUGGUAGUCCACGCCGUAAACGAUGUGUGCUAGCCGUUGGGGCACUUAGUGUUUCAGUGGCGCAGCUAACCGCGUUAAGCACACCGCCUGGGGAGUACGGCCGCGAGGUUA
rnacentral:rRNA from 1 species